CCGCACAAGCCCGAACUUGUCCUGUAGGGGAGGGGGGGAGCGGGGGGGCGUGGCCUGCGGGGUGACGUCACGGGAGGGGCGUGGCCCCGCCUGCCAGAGCUCGCGAGCCGGUGCCCGAUCGCGACGUUCCCGGUUCCCCCGCCCGGUUCAUGCAGCUGCUAGCCCCCCGGGUGCGAUGGCCAGACCGCUGCGGGAAGGGACCGUCGGGGAGCCCCCAGCCCCCCUGCCUGCGCCUCCUGCCUGCGGGGGGGGCGCGGGGGGGGCGCCGCAUCCCGCCUGCCGGGGGGGGCCGCCCCCCGCCGCCCCCACGCGUGUCCCGCCCCUCCCACGCCGGCGUCACCCCCGUCUGAGCUGCGCGUGUCCCGGGGACGCCCCGGCCCCCCCCAUCCUGGCCCCUUGUGGCUUUUACGGCUGCGGGACGGGAGGACCCCCCCCCCGCUGCUGCCCAUGGUGACUUCCACCCCACGCAGGACGAGCCCCACGAGGGGGGGGACACCCACGAGGGGGGGGGCGGUGUCAUUGUCCCCAACGGUCACCUCCCCCCGGCCCCCCCCGGCCCCGAACGGGAAUUGGGCGCCCGGCUGCGCCGCUUGGGAGACGCGUUCCAGAGCUCCUAUGAACAGCAGCAGCGGGAGCGGCGCGGCGGCGUGUUUUGGGGUCACCUGUACCGCCUGGUCUCGCAGUUGCUGGGAGCCGUCUACAACCUGCAGGCAGCGCGGGAAUUAAUUAAUUAGCUAUUUAUUUAAUUUAUUAAUUAGCAUACGGGGCGGGGGGGGGGGGGAAAACACCCCCCUGACCCCCCCCCCCCCCUAUAUGGUCCUGCUGUGAUCGCAGCCCCCACUGGGGGAAGCACUGUAUAUAUUGUAUAUGUUGGAGCUGUAUAGAUGGGGAGGGGUGUACAUUAUAUAUAAGGGAGGGGGUGUAUAUAAGGGGCUGGGGGGUGUAU